AGAGUUUGAUCAUGGCUCAGGAUGAACGCUGGCGGCGUGCUUAACACAUGCAAGUCGAACGAACCUUCGGGUUAGUGGCGGACGGGUGAGUAACGCGUGAGAAUCUGCCCUCAGGAGGGGGAUAACGGUUGGAAACGACCGCUAAUACCCCAUAUGCCGAGAGGUGAAAUGAAAUUCGCCUGAGGAUGAGCUCGCGUCUGAUUAGCUAGUUGGUAGGGUAAAGGCCUACCAAGGCAUUGAUCAGUAGCUGGUCUGAGAGGAUGAUCAGCCACACUGGGACUGAGACACGGCCCAGACUCCUACGGGAGGCAGCAGUGGGGAAUUUUCCGCAAUGGGCGCAAGCCUGACGGAGCAACGCCGCGUGAGGGAUGAAGGCCUCUGGGCUGUAAACCUCUUUUAUCAAGGAAGAAAAACUGACGGUACUUGAUGAAUAAGCCACGGCUAAUUCCGUGCCAGCAGCCGCGGUAAUACGGGAGUGGCAAGCGUUAUCCGGAAUUAUUGGGCGUAAAGCGUCCGCAGGCGGUUUUACAAGUCUGCCGUUAAAGCGUGGAGCUCAACUCCAUUUCAGCGAUGGAAACUGUAAGACUCGAGUGUGGUAGGGGCAGAGGGAAUUCCCGGUGUAGCGGUGAAAUGCGUAGAUAUCGGGAAGAACACCAGUGGCGAAAGCGCUCUGCUGGGCCAUAACUGACGCUCAUGGACGAAAGCCAGGGGAGCGAAAGGGAUUAGAUACCCCUGUAGUCCUGGCCGUAAACGAUGAACACUAGGUGUCGGGGGAAUCGACCCCCUCGGUGUCGUAGCCAACGCGUUAAGUGUUCCGCCUGGGGAGUACGCACGCAAGUGUGAAACUCAAAGGAAUUGACGGGGGCCCGCACAAGCGGUGGAGUAUGUGGUUUAAUUCGAUGCAACGCGAAGAACCUUACCAGGGCUUGACAUCCUGCGAAU
rnacentral:rRNA from 1 species